UUGACCCCCUAUUUGACUGUAGAAAUAGGAUACUAAUGGUUACAGGAGUAUCCUGUACAAAUUGGAGCGCUGUAGGACGAAGGGCCGUAGAAUAAAUUGGCAAAAUAAAAAACGAUAAGUAAAGGUGACACGCAAAAGUGCCGUGUCCGGUAUUGCUCCAUUUUACCCUGGUAUUAUUUUGGGGAUUACUCCAAAACUAAUCCCUCUAGAGCAAAACCGAAAUAGCCAAGUUGUGAAAAAGCUCCUGCUCUACAACAUGCAUGUAUUCCGGCCAUUUUCGCUGAAAAGUAUGGGUACCAGCGAAAGAUGUUCUAGGAUCAUUCUGGUCAGUGAACGUCUUCGGAAUUGAUUUGAGAUGAAUUUUUCCUCACCAAUUAUUCGGGACCUAUUGAAGAUUUUUAUCUGAAAUUCAGAUAUGAUGUGUGUAUUGCAGUUACAAACAAUAAUCUAGAAGGAAAAAUCUAUUAAACCAUUUCCUGAUUUUUAAAAAUUGAAAAACCGGAUUUUUUCACCGGUUUACCUAUAAUCUAGGUAGCACAAAAAUGUGCACCUAUAACCUAUGGUAUGAUUUGAAUGCCAUUUUGGGUUAUUAUGUAAUCCUACCUGCUGAUUACGAUUUUGAUGGUAAAAAUUCUGUACCAUCAUACAUUUACAUGAUUUACCAACCUUAGUGAAGAAAAGUAACUGGUGAGCAUGUGCAAGUCCGUAGCCACCAUUGGUUUACUAUUAUGAGGAAAAACCGUAAACUUGGAAAGUGGGUUUUUCCAGUAUCUUUGUUAAUUGACAUAUCAGAAUGCUGAUGGUACCAUUGAAUUGCUUGUACAUUCGGUCUUCAUGCAAGGCUCAAAAUUUUUAUCCUUGAUAAGUUUUAAGAAAAAUGCAUUUCCCUGGUCCGUAGCAUAUAAGGACGAAUUUCAAACAGAGUAUCAUACUGAGUAUGAUACCAGUACAUGCUUUGUGUAGCUUUUCCUACCUUAGCAAUGCAGUCUGGUACCUUGUCGAGGUGUGCUGGCUUAGCCUAUCCUGUUUGUGUUGCUUGGGUUAUGAAAAGAUGACCUGUAACCUUUGGGGAGCUAUAACACCAGGAGUGGUGACCAAAUCCAGACUGCUUUUUCUUGCUUGAGCAAGUGAAUACAACCAUUGAUUGGGCUUGCGGUAAUUGCAAAGCUAUCCUUUGGUUCAAGUGCUUUGGAGUGUAUCUCCAAUUAAGCAACCGUAUUUUUCUUUUCAGAGGCACUAUUGAUCUCUUUUUGGGAUUGCCUUGCAACCACCCCUAGUCUACUUGUUGCAUGCAUUUAAUGUUUGUUUCUUUUCAGGAUUAAAAAGUGUCAGUGAACAUUUUUAGUGUAAAGUGAGAAAUGAACAUUGAAGAGUGAUCUAUAAGUGACAAAAGAAAAAGUGGACAAUGGAGUUUUCAUAUUCAGAUGAUCAAUCUGAUGACUCAGAUUUGGAUAAGACAUUUGAUUUUUUGAAUGCAUUGAAGGAGCGAAGGAAAACUUGCAAGUACGAUUAUUCCUCUGAGGAGGAGGAGGAAAAGAAGAAAAGGAAGCAUGUGAAGAGAAUUAAAUUACAGCCAGAAUCCUCAUCGUACCAAUUGAGAAGAAAAAAGAUGAGGACAGGUGAUUUAGCUCAGACAGAGAGCAAUUACCUCUUUUGAGCCCCAACCAGGAUCUUCAGGGCUUCAGCAGCAGGAUGCUGAGGUUUCUAAGUGGCUGCUGGACUGUGGUACAGCUGUUGAUUCUUCGGAUUCUUCUUAUAACCCUGAGGAUGAAAUGGAAGAGGAGGAGGAAGAGGAGGAGGAGGAGGAGGAGGAGGAGGAGGAGGAGGAGGAAGAAACGGAAGAAAUGGGAAAUGAAACUUUAUCUGAAACUUCGGAAGAUGAUAAUCAACAAGUCUCUGGUUGGUUGAUAUGGUUGUACAUUUAUCAAAGAGCAUAUUUCAUGUAUGGUGUUGUAUUUGUUGCAAUUAAUAAUGUGGUUAACAUUCCAGAGGAUGAAACAAGGCAACAGCCAUUAUUGAGUCAAGAAGCCAUACAUCAUAUGAGUAGGACCAUUCGGCUUAUCAGCCUUGAAGAGCACAUGAAAUCCUUAUCGUUGCCUAAUGAGGAGAAGGAAAAGUUCAAAGAAGCGUUCAAAACCUUCAGCACUGUACCAAACAUUGAAGACAUAAAGGUUUAUUUAAAAAAAGAAAGAGAGCUUCUAGAAAAUGCAUUGAAGAAUGUAGAGAUUCGUGAGGCAGCAACUUUGAAAAUGGCAGAAACAUUCUGGCAAAUGAUUAAAGACCGGCAAUGCCACUUGCUGGGAAGAAGCCUCAAAAAUACUAAGGCCAGGCCCAGGAAAAAGAUCACCAAGCGUACCAGGAUUACGUGCCCUUUUGAAGGGUGCGUUGGGAAAGCAAUCAACAUAAAGAGACACUUGGGUCAGUGUCACAAAUAUCUAACACAAGAGGAAAAAGAAGUAAUUUCACUCAUGAAUAGAAUGAAAACCAUGGGCAAGAUAGGAACCAUGAGUAUGAAAACAAAGAAGCAAAAACAAAGCAAGUGCAUAAUUUGCAAUAAAGCCUACAACAGGUUAGACGUUCACUUGCAGAAAACCCACAAAUUGCGUAGACAUACGCAGAUGUAUAGAAAGACAAUGGAGGCAUGUAUUUCUGCUCCUAAUGAAAAUGUAAUCAUUGAGACAGCUUCAGGAAGUAAUACUCUCAACUCAGUUGAUAGACUGAAAUCUUUUGCCAAUGGUUUUAAUGAGUACCUUGAGAUGUACACUCCCCUUUGUGAAGUAACAAGAGUCAAAGAAGUAAGAAAUGUCAGGGAAAUAAUUUCCUCUUGCUUGGGUGAGAUACCUGUAGACUCCCUUGAAGGACAUACAAUCUGCCGCAUUCUAAGAAACUCUACCAAAAGUUCACCUCCAGGAUACUUUAAAGAAAGAGAAGGUGUGGCAUCGUACAGUUAUAUGAGAAAGAUAUUGAAGGGCUGCCAGAGGGCAGUCAUAUAUAUGCAUGAGUCCCAGGGUGUGUUCACAAUCAAUCUCAAUACUCGAGAAAAAACUUUGAAGUGCUUGAAAUCUUUGUCUGGUAAGUGUUUUUUUCCUAACUGACUGUCAUUAUACAUUGUAAAAACGCAAAGGUUAGCAACAAGUAUAUUUACUACCUUUCUUAUUUUUCAGUGAAAUAUCAAAAGGAAGAAAAUCGUGAAAGAUUUCAUAAACCACGGAAGAAGGAGAUGAGUCUAGCAUCCCUGAAUGAUAUUGAAAAAUCCUUCAGUCAGAUUAUGUAACAUCUAAAAUAAAGGAUGCUAUUGAAAUGACAGACGAUGAACUAGUGACUGUCUCACAGUUCAUAGACUUGAGGGACAUUUUGAUCACCGUUAUGGCAAUAACGUCGUUACGACGACUGAUGGAAUUUGGAGAAUUCAGAUUAUCUGAAGUUGCUGAGAAAGAGAAGAGAAUAGACCAUGACACAGAACAAUUUGAGUGCUGGGUAUUUAGAAUUUCAAGGCACAAAACAGCAGUACAAGGGCCUUCUCUGAUAUUCUUAUCAGAAAUUGAAGGUAAAGCCUUUGAUGCAUACCUAAAAUACUACAGACCUCUAGUUGCCUCCUGCAAGGAACCGAACUGCUUUGUUUUCCCAAAUAGAUUCGCAGAGAGUGUGACAUCAUGUUGUACUAAGAUGAGCUACUCAUCUUUGUCUAAAGCGGUGUCAAAGACAGGUAGAAAAGCUGGUGUCUCAACAGCAAUAACCUCCAGGAUUCUCAGACGAAGUCAAAUAACGGCUCUAUGGGAAAAAAAUUUGGACCCUACCUGGAGAAAUAAAAUUGCAGAACAAUGUUGCCACUCACUACAAACGGCAAGACGGUAUUAUGAAUUCUCUUCAAAAGUGGGUACAGGCAAGGAAGUGGUAGACACACUUCGAAAAAUGAGGAGUGAAGCACUGGAGUCUGGGACGUCACAAGCUUCCACAAAUUUGAGUGAAUCUGCCCAUACUCUUGAGCUGUGAGUUUUACUUUGAAAUAAAAUUUUCUUUAUGGUUGACUAUAUUAUUUAUAGUAAUGCUUGUACAUUCAUCACUGUGAUUGAAAUUAACAAUGUUCCAAUUUAGCUCAAGUGGAGCCCAAAUAUCCCAGACUGAGGAAGAUCCAGGAAUAUCGGAAGAGCCUUCUGUGAUUCAAACGGAGGAUCCUGACGAUCCACCACCUACCAACACCGGAAUGGGUGAGAGACACACCCAAGAAGAAGGACAGGUCUCUUAUCACCAACAGACUCAGGAACUUGUGGAAGAAAACGCAAAACCACCCAGCAUCCGUUC